rnacentral:miRNA from 1 species
GGCAUAAUUCAAGAUAUUCGAU